UCAAACUCCAUUUUUUUCCUUAAAACCUUCCGACUGCUUGUAUUCAGGUCUUUAAUCUUGUCAAUAGUUUUAGGGUCCGUCCCUCAUAUCUUCAAUCUCAAAAAUGGCCGAGGUUUUCAAGAGUGGUAUGCGCUAUGCAUAAUUUGAAGUGGACUUUUCAUGCUCACUUUUCAUUGAUUUUUAUCUCCUCACAAUGUAAAACAGUUCCCAAAGUGCCUUAGUAUAACAUGUCUGUGACAUGAUUGUGUCAAAAUACCCCGAAGGUCAUGUUUUAAAUCCUGUUAGUGAACGCUAAUCUGUGCAUCCAACAAAAUUCAAUGCAGUUCUGCUUACCUUUUUGUUUUCACAUAGUGUUUCAUACAGUGACUGGCUGUGGCUUUAAUGCGGCAGAUCAUUCACCCAGCCUCGCAAUUCGUGGCUUCAAGCUUUCACACAUUUUCAGAAAUAGGCAGCUGACAACAGAUUGACUUGGUGGUUUAAUUUCAAGCUUCACACACUCCAGAGACCCAACUAUCUGUAUGUAAGCAAUUCAACUUCAAUUCUCCGUAAUAUGUGCCCUUUUACAGAAUUUCUUAUACAUGAUGCAGGAAAAAUAUCAACUUCAGGGAUUGUUUGUCUGUGGAAGACAGCGUUUGAAUGGACCACAUGCACGGCAAUGCAUUAAGCAUUCCGGUGGAAGGGAUUACGAGGUGUACGAGUUUCCAGUGUCCACGUUUCAUGCUCGGUUUUGAGUUUCAACACGUUCCCCACAUUGCCACUAUGCAUUUGACUUCCGGCUGGUAGCAUGACACUAACUCUGAAGCGUCGAGUACAUAGUCCAUUGCUGACCCGCAAUCCUUUUCAACUUUUAAUGGUCUUUAUCAAUUUUCUUCAAACUGUUACUGAUUGUUUCUGUUUUUCAAAGCAAUAAUUUUGAAUCAUAUCCAAACCAUCGUGAUAAAUUAGUCUUACUGAAAUCCUAGAAAGAAAACAAAAACAACUGGAGUUGACGAGCAGCCACCCGUAACCAUUUUAAAUAAUGUUGAAUUUAAGCUCAGAAUUCUGUGCCUCAUCACAUUUUGCAUCAUGGAAAAACCACCAUCCCCACAACAAGUAAGAAUUGGGUAUUAGGUCAACGGAAAAAAAAACAAUGAAAAUGGUCAACAGCAUUGUUUGAAAAAGAAACAUAUUUUGGGUGGAGUGUGCUGAGGGGAAGGCAAACCUCGGUGGACUGGCUCUGGCUGCACUUGAAAGAGAAGCGCUCAAAUACUCUGUGUGUGGCCUCGUGCUUCGCCACACUUUGCAAUGACCGACAAGAUCCAGGCGCUCCAACUGUAGGAGAUCUAUAACGCAUACUACGGGCGUAGUGGGACAUCAUACAGCUUCGUCAACAUGUCUGCACUUUGUUUGAGGGGAGCAACUGUCAUCAUCUUUGAAAGUUUUUCCUCAGAGGGAGUCCUCUCCUUUGGGCGGGGCUGCCAUGGUCCUGCCUCAUGGCGUCCUCCGUCGCCAUGUGUGGCUCCUCUUGACUGAGGUUCCAUGCUGGCGUCCUGUGGCCGUGGUCUGUUGUCUGAUUUUGGUGCAGACGUCUCCCUGAGAUGGUGUUUCCUCACCUGGCUUCACUUCCCCCGACCAUAGCUAAGGUGAGGAUGACUUCAGAAGACAAACCCCCUACAAUCUACAAAUCCUGAUGGUACAGACUCUGAAAGAAAAUGCAAGUAGGGCAUGAAGGGCAUUUUCAACAUCUCACUGUCCCAUCUCAUCGACGAUCAUUCCUGUUGCGAGGGCCUCGACGUCUCCAUUGGCAGACACCUACCAAUGUGUUAAUAGGACUCCUAUGUGAUGUGUAAUUUAGUUCUGCCUUCGACACAAUCAAUCUGUCAGUGACUUGACAGACUUGGUAGUUCAUUCUGUAAACAGAUCUUGUAUUUUUUUACCCACAGACCCCACAAAGUGUCUCUAAGGAUUAACAACAUAUCAUAGCCUGAGAUCCCAAUGCCUCGCUCAAGGGCACCUCAACCGAGCUCAGGACAAGCAUCCCAAUUGCUAGAUUUUGGAACAGAGCCUUCAAACCCUCCGGUCCACAAAUCCUUACUAACUGAGAUCUUCUCCCGCCCCUAAACAGUUGUCACCAAUGGACAAAUCCCAGGAAAAUAAGACUCGAGCAACAAAUUUCCUUCGCCGGGAUGAAACGGCGCCACUCGUCCAUGGGCAUCCUCUUCCUCUUGGAGCUGACUGACCUUUGAUCAUGAUCCAAAUCCAGACUUUUAGUGCUCAUUUGAAUUGGCAUUCUAAAAUUCAUUGUACUAUACCACCAAAAAAAGACACUGCUGAAACAGUCCACUUAGGCCACAGGCGGGCAGAAGUGACUCUUCAAAGUAGAAGCUUUGUCAUCUCAUUUAACAGCUAAACAUUUUAAAUUGAGCUGACCUUUAAGUGUCCCUUCCCCCUCCUCCUUUCCAUUGAUAUUGGAGGUGAUCUGAAGCGGCUCAUAUGGAAUCAUUCACUGCAGCAGCCAUGUGUAAGAGGAUGCUGGCAAGAGGGAAGUAUUAUAUGUCUUUAUAAUUACCCUACUGUUUUCUUUGGGCUUAUCUGGUCCACUCAUUAAACAAACUAGUUCUUAUCAAAGUGAUGAGAGUUGUACUGGAAACAGAAAUGGAAGUCUUAAACAAAUAUGGCUCCCAGAACUGACCUGGUUUGAGAGUCCAAUUCUCAUGUAUGGAUGAGUCUUUCAUCUUUCAACAGUCAUGGAGCGUACUUGCUUGUCUUCUCUUGGUGAGUCACUUAGAGUGUGUCUCGUGACCUUGAGAAGAAACCUGGUAGCUGAGGACUAUCAUUAGAA